AUGCUAAACCAGCUGGAUUCGAGCCGCACCUGCAUUCGCCCCUCGGGCAGCUGCUUCCGGUCGAGGCGACCCACGCCACGCUCGAGGAAUCCUCUCCAGCCAAAAUGGCGCCAGGCUCUGAUGCUCCAUGGUAACCACGCUACUCACGACGGCGGCCUGCUCAUCUCACCUGCCCGCUCCUGCAUCCGGGGUCGGGCGCCCUGCGGGUGUUCGGUGAAAUGCCCCACCAGGGAGAUUGCGCCGCUGGCGUCCGAUACCCCCCCUGGAUUCAAGGUGUGUUUCCUCUCGAUCAGUGAUUACUAA
rnacentral:rRNA from 1 species